AAUAAGUGCAGUCGUGGAUAUCCGUGCCCAACGUUUGACCGUUCGUCUUAUUUGAAAAAUUUAAAAAUAUUUAGUCACACAUAAAGUACUAUUCAUGUUUUAUCAUCUAAUAGCAAUAAAAAUACUAAUCAUAAAAAAAUUUCAAAUAAGACGAACGGUCAAACGUUGAACGUGAAUAGUGCAAAACUGCACUUAUU
rnacentral:pre_miRNA from 1 species